rnacentral:rRNA from 1 species
AUGCAGUCGAGGGGCAGCAUGAUUGAAGCUUGCUUCAAUUGAUGGCGACCGGCGCACGGGUGAGUAACGCGUAUCCAACCUUCCGUACACUCAGGGAUAGCCUUUCGAAAGAAAGAUUAAUACCUGAUGGUAUGAUGAGAUUGCAUGAUAGCAUCAUUAAAGAUUUAUCGGUGUACGAUGGGGAUGCGUUCCAUUAGGUAGUAGGCGGGGUAACGGCCCACCUAGCCUACGAUGGAUAGGGGUUCUGAGAGGAAGGUCCCCCACAUUGGAACUGAGACACGGUCCAAACUCCUACGGGAGGCAGCAGUGAGGAAUAUUGGUCAAUGGACGAGAGUCUGAACCAGCCAAGUAGCGUGAAGGAUGAAGGUCCUACGGAUUGUAAACUUCUUUUAUAAGGGAAUAAAACCUCCCACGUGUGGGAGCUUGUAUGCACCUUAUGAAUAAGCAUCGGCUAACUCCGUGCCAGCAGCCGCGGUAAUACGGAGGAUGCGAGCGUUAUCCGGAUUUAUUGGGUUUAAAGGGAGCGCAGACGGGUCGUUAAGUCAGCUGUGAAAGUUUGGGGCUCAACCUUAAAAUUGCAGUUGAUACUGGCGUCCUUGAGUGCGGUUGAGGUGUGCGGAAUUCGUGGUGUAGCGGUGAAAUGCUUAGAUAUCACGAAGAACUCCGAUUGCGAAGGCAGCACACUAAGCCGUAACUGACGUUCAUGCUCGAAAGUGUGGGUAUCAAAC